GACGAACCGUGCGAACGUUGUUCGGAAUCACUGGGCUUAAAGGGCGCGUAGGCGGGCAGCCAAGUCCGGGGUGAAAUCUUUCGGCCCAACCGGAAAAGUGCCUCGGAUACUGGCUGCCUGGAGGGAGGUAGGGGCACGCGGAACUUCCGGUGGAGCGGUGAAAUGCGUUGAUAUCGGAAGGAACGCCGGUGGCGAAAGCGGCGUGCUGGACCUCUGCUGACGCUGAGGCGCGAAAGCCAGGGGAGCGAACGGG
rnacentral:rRNA from 1 species